AUUGAACGCUGGCGGCAUGCCUUACACAUGCAAGUCGAACGGCAGCAUGGAGAGCUUGCCCUCUGAUGGCGAGUGGCGAACGGGUGAGUAAUGCAUCGGAACGUACCGUGUAAUGGGGGAUAACGUAGCGAAAGUUACGCUAAUACCGCAUACGACCUGAGGGUGAAAGCAGGGGAUCGCAAGACCUUGCGUUAUACGAGCGGCCGAUGUCAGAUUAGCUAGUUGGUGAGGUAAAGGCUCACCAAGGCGACGAUCUGUAGCGGGUCUGAGAGGAUGAUCCGCCACACUGGGACUGAGAGACGGCCCAGACUCCUACGGGAGGCAGCAGUGGGGAAUUUUGGACAAUGGGGGCAACCCUGAUCCAGCCAUGCCGCGUGAGUGAAGAAGGCCUUCGGGUUGUAAAGCUCUUUCGGCCGGGAAGAAAUCGCACAGGCUAAUACUCUGUGUGGAUGACGGUACCGGCAUAAGAAGCACCGGCUAACUACGUGCCAGCCGCCGCCGUAA
rnacentral:rRNA from 1 species